AAAAUUGGUGAUGAUAUCAACCGUUGAUCAUGCGGAUUCUACCAGAUUACAAUCCCUAAUUCGGUCUAUGAAUGAACCUCAAUUCCCAGAUUACAUUUCUCUUUUCGUUUUCAGCUUUUGAUUAAUAUCAUUAUCCCACUUUUGAUUCCCGUUAUCACAAAAGCCCUAAAUCAUUAUAUCUUUCACAUAUAGAUUUCAUUGAUCUUUCUCUUUCCUUGAAUAUCUAUUUUCGAAUUGAAUCGAUGAUGGGAGACAAUGCCAGUGAAGAUCAUCAAAGAUCAUUCGCAGCUCCUCUCAUAUUUUUCAUAGUUUUCGCUUUUCAAUUUGCUUCCUAUUGGAUUGAUCACUUCAAGAAGGGUGGAUCUGAGAAGCAAAAAGAAACUCAGUUGCGUGCAGAAAUAAAACAACUUUUGAAGGAGGCAAACUCCAUGUCGCAGCCAUCCACCUUUGCACAAGCUGCAAAACUCAAAAGACAGGCAGCUGCAAAGGAGAGGGAACUUGCAAAGUGUCAAGAUUUACAUGCCAGGGACACAACUUUGUAUUCAAAAGUUCUGUUCAUCUCUAAGGUUUUGACAUAUUUAAUUUUGCUUAUCUGGUUUUGGAGUUCUCCUGUGGCUAGCAUAUCUCAACAACUCGUGCAACCAUUUGGGAGAUUGUUAUCUUGGAGGUCUGGAGGAGUGCAAAAUAACAAUAUUAUGGUUGGCAUAAUACCUUGGCUAGCAGUAACUUCCAGGGUUAGCAAACUUAUUUGUAAACUCACACAUAGCUGGUUGGAUUGGUAGCUGGUUGGACUGGUGUCCUGGAUUUAAAAUGGAAAGAACAGGAAGUUAUUAGCCUCAUCUUAUUCUAGGAGACAAAUUAAUUAUUCGUUAUUUCUUACUUUUUUUCUCACUCCGGUAGUUUCAGAUCCAAUUUCUGACCGAUCUCAGCCUCAAGAAGACACCUUAACUUGUAGAAUUGGUUGAUGAUAGCCGAGUAAUGAGAUGUUUAGCUUUUUUUUUCUUUUAUAUUAAAUCUAUUCCAAAUUGAAUAAUCGAUUAAUCUUGCUUUAUAUUGGAUUCAGGACAUUGAAGAGUUUCUUAAUUUGUCUCAUGAAAAGGUUCUAUUAAAAUGGAUGAAUCUUCAUCUUCAGAGAGAAGUUUUAGGAGAAAACCGGCAAUAAUUUUUUGAAAAUGUGUUUUAUUUUAUAAAAUGAAUGCGUGGUUCACUUACGCAUGUAUUUAGUAUAUUUUGGAAUGCACCGGUUAGAUUAAUUAUUUAAUUAAUCAAACAUAGAUUGACAUAAUUAAUUUAAUAAAUUAUAUUAUGUUC